GCAUAUCAAUAAGCGGAGGAAAAGAAACCAACAGGGAUUGCCCUAGUAACGGCGAGUGAAGCGGCAACAGCUCAAAUUUGAAAUCUGGCUCUCGGGCCCGAGUUGUAAUUUGUAGAGGAUACUUUUGAUGCGGUGCCUUCCGAGUUCCCUGGAACGGGACGCCAUAGAGGGUGAGAGCCCCGUCUGGUUGGAUGCCAAAUCUCUGUAAAGUUCCUUCAACGAGUCGAGUAGUUUGGGAAUGCUGCUCUAAAUGGGAGGUAUAUGUCUUCUAAAGCUAAAUACCGGCCAGAGACCGAUAGCGCACAAGUAGAGUGAUCGAAAGAUGAAAAGCACUUUGAAAAGAGAGUUAAAAAGUACGUGAAAUUGUUGAAAGGGAAGCGUUUAUGACCAGACUUGGGCUUGGUUAAUCAUCUGGGGUUCUCCCCAGUGCACUUUUCCAGUCCAGGCCAGCAUCAGUUUUCCCCGGGGGAUAAAGGCGGCGGGAAUGUGGCUCUCUUCGGGGAGUGUUAUAGCCCACCGUGUAAUACCCUGGGGGGGACUGAGGUUCGCGCAUCUGCAAGGAUGCUGGCGUAAUGGUCAUCAACGACCCGUCUUGAAACACGGACCAAGGAGUCGUCUUCGUAUGCGAGUGUUCGGGUGUCAAACCCCUACGCGUAAUGAAAGUGAACGCAGGUGAGAGCUUCGGCGCAUCAUCGACCGAUCCUGAUGUUCUCGGAUGGAUUUGAGUAAGAGCAUACGGGGCCGGACCCGAAAGAAGGUGAACUAUGCCUGUAUAGGGUGAAGCCAGAGGAAACUCUGGUGGAGGCUCGCAGCGGUUCUGACGUGCAAAUCGAUCGUCAAAUAUGGGCAUGGGGGCGAAAGACUAAUCGAACCUUCUAGUAGCUGGUUUCCGCCGAAGUU
rnacentral:rRNA from 3 species